UUGAGAGUUUGAUCCUGGCUCAGAACGAACGCUGGCGGCAGGCCUAACACAUGCAAGUCGAGCGAGACCUUCGGGUCUAGCGGCGGACGGGUUAGUAACGCGUGGGAACGUACCCUUUUCUGCAGGAUAGCCACUGGAAACGGUGAGUAAUACUGCAUACGCCCUUCGGGGGAAAGAUUUAUCGGAGAAGGAUCGGCCCGCGUUAGAUUAGAUAGUUGGUGGGGUAACGGCCUACCAAGUCUACGAUCUAUAGCUGGUUUGAGAGGAUGAUCAGCAACACUGGGACUGAGACACGGCCCAGACUCCUACGGG
rnacentral:rRNA from 1 species